GAGCCUUGAUGUGUAGGAUAGGUGGGAGGCUUUGAAGUGUGGACGCCAGUCUGCAUGGAGCCGACCUUGAAAUACCACCCUUUAAUGUUUGAUGUUCUAACGUGGGCCCCUAAUCGGGGUUGCGGACAGUGUCUGGUGGGUAGUUUGACUGGGGCGGUCUCCUCCUAAAGAGUAACGGAGGAGCACGAAGGUUGGCUAAUCCUGGUCGGACAUCAGGAGGUUAGUGCAAUGGCAUAAGCCAGCUUGACUGCGAGCGUGACGGCGCGAGCAGGUGCGAAAGCAGGUCAUAGUGAUCCGGUGGUUCUGAAUGGAAGGGCCAUCGCUCAACGGAUAAAAGGUACUCCGGGGAUAACAGGCUGAUACCGCCCAAGAGUUCAUAUCGACGGCGGUGUUUGGCACCUCGAUGUCGGCUCAUCACAUCCUGGGGCUGAAGUAGGUCCCAAGGGUAUGGCUGUUCGCCAUUUAAAGUGGUACGCGAGCUGGGUUUAGAACGUCGUGAGACAGUUCGGUCCCUAUCUGCCGUGGGCGCUGGAGAACUGAGGGGGGCUGCUCCUAGUACGAGAGGACCGGAGUGGACGCAUCACUGGUGUUCGGGUUGUCAUGCCAAUGGCACUGCCCGGUAGCUAAAUGCGGAAGAGAUAAGUGCUGAAAGCAUCUAAGCACGAAACUUGCCCCGAGAUGAGUUCUCCCUGAGACUUAGAGUCUCCUGAAGGAACGUUGAAGACGACGACGUUGAUAGGCCGGGUGUGUAAGCGCAGCGAUGCGUUGAGCUAACCGGUACUAAUGAACCGUGAGGCUUAACCUUACAACGCCGAAG
rnacentral:rRNA from 1 species